AAUUUACUACCCAGGUUUCUUGCUUAAUUAGUCAGAUGAAGAAGGAAAAGUGAAUGCAUAAAAGAACACAAGGAGAUCACCAGGACCUGGCGUCUUUCACAGGAGAGCAUCACCAGCCAGCUCCAGCAGGUUCCAGAUUAAUUUUUCUUCACGGGACAUUGAUCACUGUUGAUCCUGAACACCAUCUCUCAUCUGCCUCCAGGCAACUAAAGAGGACCACAGGGAAGACAGAAAAAAAAUCUUCCCUGGGUCAGCAUUUUCAGACAGAAAACUGUUUUCAAGGAUUUAAUUCUGAUGAUAAGGCAGAGUUAUAUUUUCCACUUUGAAACCAAGCUUUUUCUAGCUUCUUGUUGUUGAUCCCUCCAUACUGUCAAAUAGGAAAAGUAAUUAAAAAAAUGUGCUGCAAA